rnacentral:rRNA from 1 species
ACAAUUGCGAUGGGGGGACGGAGAAGGCUAGGUGGGCCUGGCGACGGUUGUCCAGGUUCAAGUGCGUAGGCUUGAGAGUUAGGUAAAUCCGGCUCUUUUUAAGGCUGAGACACGACGUCGAGCACCUACGGGUGUGAAGUCAUUGAUGCCAUGCUUCCAGGAAAAGCCUCUAAGCUUCAGAUUGUAAGGAAUCGUACCCCAAACCGACACAGGUGGUCGGGUAGAGAAUACCAAGGCGCUUGAGAGAACUCGGGU